rnacentral:ncRNA from 1 species
ACCGAUAAAAACAUAUCGAUUGUUUUUAUACGAUACCGCGAACUCAUUCCAACGGGGAGCGGUAUGACAAAACUCAUCCUGCCGGCGCCAUUCCGACGGCCCCGGGCAAAUUUUAUGGAAGGAG